GCCCGCUGCGUGCGGCCCGGCCCGGCCGGCGCUGGGCGCUUCCUGCCCGGCAUGCACAGCGCCGCAGCCCGCCCGGCACCGGGAGCGGAGCGCAGCGGGGCCGAGGGUCUGAGAGCGGCGCGGCGCUGUGCCCGCCGCCACCCACACACACAGGGCAGCCAGGCCUCGCAGAAGUCACCGCGAUGCCCAGCACCAGCUGAGUGCACCUGGGUGAUGAGCAGCCCUCAGAAGGUCCCACCCAAGGCCGAGUUUUGUGCAGUGUGUGCACAUGGUGCUUCAGCGUUAGGGCAGAGGAGGAAACGGGGUGGCGUUAUUUUUCCUCUUAAAAGUCUGCUUCUGAUUUUCCUCUUUUCAUGUUGGCUCCUAACUCCAGGAACAAUGAUGUCAUUCUUGCACGGCAGCAUCCAGAAGCACGGCAUAAACUUAAUUGAAAGGCCUGAGAUUUAUGUUAUGAUUUCAGAGAUGCAGGCGCACAAGUGAGGUUUAUAUACAUUAUACACAUACAAUGUGUUUGCAUGUGGCUGUAACAUACACACCUAGAAAUGAUAGAACUCGGGCAAAAUCGCCUUCUGAUUCCAGUUAAAUGAGUUACUUAUUGUUAAUGAAUUGUUUUAACUCUAAGCUAUGAACUAUUCAAGGUUUUUUCUUUAGUUGCAUGGAGAUAUGGUUUGGUUACUGGUUGGUAUUGGUGGCUCAUUCCAUGUACUGCUCUGCAAUGCCUUAUCCCCAAGCUGCUUACAGGUAUGACUCACCUAAGAUGAUCACUGAAGCAAGUACUUAAUUCAAUCCCUGUUUGUUCUCAGGCAAAGUCCCACUGAAGGCAAUGACAGUAGUUCUGUGCUGCACAGGGAGUUAAACACCGAGCACUGCAGCAGUGUUCCUUUAGAGCAGUGUGUUUUUUAGAGCCGGGAAGGUCUGAGUGGAGGUAAAAGAAUGAGAUCUGCUCUUUCCUUGGAUCUUCUGCAAACCACUGUGCAAAAAGGCAGAUGCAAAUAGGAGCCUGCCCUUCGCUCACUGGAGGAGUUCUCUGACCUCUUGUUCGCUGUACUGAAGCCUGCAGUAACCCUGGCAUGACUGACUGAAGGUCACUGUCCAUUCCUGUCUGCAUCGAUGAAUACCAGGGCUUUGGAGUGGUUGGAAAAGUAAACCAUAUCUUAGAUGCUAGAGGAGAUCAAACCUCUGCAUGGACUCCUGAUGUUUUAUUUUGAUUUUCAAUACGCUUUCCUUUAUUCUGUGCUUGAUACCAGACUGAAGACUGAUUUUAGCCAUGUUUCCAAUUGCUUGUUUAUACUGAUGUCAUACUGAGAUAGCUGGUGACUAACUGCUGUGAACCUUUGUCAGCAGGAGCUCUUCUAAUGGAAGCAGGAACGUUAUUCUGGGAGCAGUCUAGGGGUGCUGCUGGGCUGUGUAGGGAUGGGACCAGAAAGGCCAAGGCCCAGCUGGAACUGGACUUGUCUACUUGUGCAUUACUUGCUAUACACGUUUAUACGUAUCUAUAUAUUUGUCAUUAUCUUUUUCAUUAUCUCAGUAAAUAGUUUUAUCUCAA